UACGGGGGGGGCAAGCGUUGUUCGGAAUUACUGGGCGUAAAGGGUUCGUAGGUGGCUUGCUAAGUCAGACGUGAAAUCCCUCGGCUUAACCGGGGAACUGCGUCUGAUACUGGAUGGCUUGAGUUUGGGAGAGGGAUGCGGAAUUCCAGGUGUAGCGGUGAAAUGCGUAGAUAUCUGGAGGAACACCGGUGGCGAAGGCGGCAUCCUGGACCAACACUGACGCUGAGUGAGCGAAAGCCAGGGGAGCAAAGCGGG
rnacentral:rRNA from 1 species